CUUGAACUUAUAUAAGAGGUCCAGCCUGCCCAGUGACUUUUGUUUAACGGCCGCGGUAUCCUAACCGUGCGAAGGUAGCGUAAUCACUUGUUCUUUAAAUAAGGACUAGUAUGAAUGGCAUCACGAGGGUUAUACUGUCUCCUUUUUCUAAUCAGUGAAACUAAUCUCCCCGUGAAGAAGCGGGGGUAAUAAUAUAAGACGAGAAGACCCUAUGGAGCUUUAAACUAAACAACACUUGCUUUACCAAUUUUAAAUUUCAGAAAAAGAACUCAUUUAACAAGAUGAUUGUAAGUUUUAGGUUGGGGUGACCAUGGAGUAAAAAUCAACCUCCAUACUGAACAACACUUAAUGUUUUAUCCACGAGCUACCGCUCUAAGCAUCAAAAUAUUGACAUCUAUUGACCCAUUACUUUGAUCAACGAAC
rnacentral:rRNA from 1 species